GACGGUACCUGAAGAAAAAGCAUCGGCUAACUCCGUGCCAGCAGCCGCGGUAAUACGGAGGAUGCAAGCGUUAUCCGGAAUCAUUGGGCGUAAAGGGUCCGCAGGUGGCGAAUAAAGUCUGCUGUUAAAGACCGGGACUAAACUCCGGAAAGGCAGUGGAAACUGAUUAGCUAGAGUACGGUAGGGGUAGAGGGAAUUCCCAGUGUAGCGGUGAAAUGCGUAGAUAUUGGGAAGAACACCGGUGGCGAAGGCGCUCUACUAGGCCGAAACUGACACUGAGGGACGAAAGCUAGGGUAGCGAAAGGGAUUAGAUACCCCUGUAGUCUUAGCUGUAAACGAUGGAUACUAGGCGUAGCUUGUAUCGACCCGAGCUGUGCCGAAGCUAACGCGAUAAGUAUCCCGCCUGGGGAGUACGCACGCAAGUGUGAAACUCAAAGGAAUUGACGGGGGCCCGCACAAGCGGUGGAGUAUGUGGUUUAAUUCGAUGCAACGCGAAGAACCUUACCAGGGCUUGACAUGUCGCGAAUCUGGCGGAAACGUUAGAGUGCCUUAGGGAACGCGAACACAGGUGGUGCAUGGCUGUCGUCAGCUCGUGUCGUGAGAUGUUGGGUUAAGUCCCGCAACGAGCGCAACCCUCGUCCUUAGUUGCCAAUAUUAAGUUAGGCACUCUAGGGAGACUGCCGGGGACAACUCGGAGGAAGGUGGGGAUGAUGUCAAGUCAGCAUGCCCCUUACGUCCUGGGCGACACACGUACUACAAUGGUUGGGACAAAGGGCAGCAAGCUCGCGAGAGUAAGCGAAUCUCAUCAAACCCAGCCACAGUUCAGAUUGCAGGCUGCAACUCGCCUGCAUGAAGUAGGAAUCGCUAGUAAUCGCAGGUCAGCAUACUGCGGUGAAUUCGUUCCCGGGCCUUGUACACACCGCCCGUCACACCAUGGAAGCUGGCUACGCCCGAAGUCGUUACCCUAACCCGGUUUUGGGAGGGGGAUGCCGAAGGUAGAGCUAGUGACUGGGGUGAAGUCGUAACAAGGUAGCCGUACCGGAAGGUGUGGCUGGAUCACCUCCUUU
rnacentral:rRNA from 1 species